rnacentral:rRNA from 1 species
GACGAACGCUGGCGGCGUGCUUAACACAUGCAAGUCGAACGGAAAGGCCCUGCUUUUGUGGGGUGCUCGAGUGGCGAACGGGUGAGUAACACGUGAGUAACCUGCCCUUGACUUUGGGAUAACUUCAGGAAACUGGGGCUAAUACCGGAUAGGAGCUCCCGCUGCAUGGUGGGGGUUGGAAAGUUUCGGCGGUUGGGGAUGGACUCGCGGCUUAUCAGCUUGUUGGUGGGGUAGUGGCUUACCAAGGCUUUGACGGAUAGCCGGCCUGAGAGGGUGACCGGCCACAUUAGGACUGAGAUACGGCCCAGACUCCAACGGGAGGCAGCAGUGGGGAAUAUUGCACAAUGGGCGGAAGCCUGAUGCGGCAACGCCGCGUGCGGGAUGACGGCCUUCGGGUUGUAAACCGCUUUCGCCUGUGACGAAGCGUGAGUGACGGUAAUGGGUAAAGAAGCACCGGCUAACUACGUG